AGAGUUUGAUCCUGGCUCAGAACUAACGGUGGCGGUGUGCUUACUACAUGCAAGUCGAGCGGGCCUCUGGGGCAACCUGGGGGUUUAGCGGCGAACGGGUGAGUAAAGUAUAGACAACCUGCCUUCGAGAGGGGGAUAACACUCUGAAAAGGGUGCUAAUACCGCAUACGAUUUCCUUUGCGCAUGUGAAGGGAAUGAAAGGGGGGGAUCGGCUUCGGCCGACCUUUCACUCGGAGAGGGGUCUAUAUCCUAUUAGCUAGUUGGUAGGGUAAAAGCCUACCAAGGCGAUGAUGGGUAGCCGGCCUGAGAGGGUGAUCGGCCACAUGGGCACUGAGACACGGGCCCGACUCCUACGGGAGGCAGCAGUAGGGAAUCUUGGGCAAUGGGAAACCCUGACCCAGCGACACCGCGUGGAUGAAGAAGGCUUUCGGGUUGUAAAGUCCUAACACGUAUUAGGAAGGUAGGUAGUACGAAUAAUGCUAUCUGCUUGACGAAGGUACGAGAUGAAGCCAUGGCUAACUCUGUGCCAGCAGCCGCGGUAAUACAGAGAUGGCAACCGUUGUUCGGAAUCACUGGGCUUAAAGAGCACGUAGGCGGAGGACUAAGUUGGCUGUGAAAUCCCACGGCUUACCCGUGGAUGGUCAGCUAAUACUGGUUUUCUUGAGGGCAGUAGGGGAGAGUGGAAUUCCUGGUGGAGCGGUGAAAUGCGUUGAUAUCAGGAGGAAUGCCGGAGGCGAAGGCGACUCUCUGGGCUGCAACUGACGCUGAGGUGCGAAAGCUAGGGGAGCGAACGGGAUUAGAUACCCCGGUAGUCCUAGCCGUAAACGAUGGGUACUAAGUAGAGGAGGGUAAACCUUCUCUGCCGGAGCAAAAGUGUUAAGUACCCCGCCUGGGGAGUAUGGUCGCAAGGCUGAAGCUCAAAGGAAUUGACGGGGGCUCGCACAAGCGGUGGGGCAUGUGGUUUAAUUCGAAGCAACGCGCAGAACCUUACCUGGACUUGACAUUCUGGGAUUAGCCUGCCGAGAGGUAGGUGACGCUCUUUCGAGAGUGGAACCAGGACAGGUGUUGCAUGGCUGUCGUCAGCUCGUGCCGUGAGGUGUUGGGUUAAGUCCCAUAACGAGCGAAACCUUUGUCCUAGUUGCCAGCGGGUAAAGCCGGGGACUCUAAGGAGACUGCAGACGUUAAGUCUGAGGAAGGUGGAGACGACGUCAAGUCAUCAUGGCCCUUAUGUCCAGGGCUACACACGUGCUACAAUGGUUGGUACAAAGGGAAGCAAAGCCGCGAGGUGGAGCUAAUCCCAAAAAGCCAAUCUCAGUUCGGAUUGAGGGCUGCAAUUCGCCCUCAUGAAGCCGGAAUCGCUAGUAAUCGUGGGUCAGCAAUACCACGGUGAAUGUGUUCCCGAGCCUUGUACACACCGCCCGUCAAGCCACCGAAGCAGGGGCGGCCUGAAGUCACUGACCCAACCUUUCGAGGGGGAGGUGCCCAAGGAAGCUUUUGUGACGGGGACUAAGUCGAAACAAGGUA
rnacentral:rRNA from 1 species